rnacentral:rRNA from 1 species
AUCGAACGCUGGCGGCAUGCCUUACACAUGCAAGUCGAACGGCAGCACGGGUGCUUGCACCUGGUGGCGAGUGGCGAACGGGUGAGUGAUACAUCGGAACGUACCUUAUCGUGGGGGAUAACGCAGCGAAAGCUGUGCUAAUACCGCAUACGCCCUGAGGGGGAAAGCGGGGGAUCGAAAGACCUCGCGCGAUUAGAGCGGCCGAUGCCUGAUUAGAUUGUUGGUGGGGUAAAAGCCCACCAAGGCGACGAUCAGUAGCUGGUCUGAGAGGACGAUCAGCCACACUGGGACUGAGACACGGCCCAGACUCCUACGGGAGGCAGCAGUGGGGAAUUUUGGACAAUGGGGGCAACCCUGAUCCAGCAAUGCCGCGUGAGUGAAGAAGGCCUUCGGGUUGUAAAGCUCUUUUGUCAGGGAAGAAACACCGGCUCUAACACAGUCCGGGAAUGACGGUACCUGAAGAAUAAGCACCGGCUAACUACGUGCCAGCCGCCGCCGUAA